rnacentral:rRNA from 1 species
GAUGAACGCUGGCGGCGUGCCUAAUACAUGCCAGUCGAGCGAACAGACGAGGAGCUUGCUCCUCUGACGUUAGCGGCGGACGGGUGAGUAACACGUGGAUAACCUACCUAUAAGACUGGGAUAACUUCGGGAAACCGGAGCUAAUACCGGAUAAUAUAUUGAACCGCAUGGUUCAAUAGUGAAAGACGGUUUUGCUGUCACUUAUAGAUGGAUCCGCGCCGCAUUAGCUAGUUGGUAAGGUAACGGCUUACCAAGGCAACGAUGCGUAGCCGACCUGAGAGGGUGAUCGGCCACACUGGAACUGAGACACGGUCCAGACUCCUACGGGAGGCAGCAGUAGGGAAUCUUCCGCAAUGGGCGAAAGCCUGACGGAGCAACGCCGCGUGAGUGAUGAAGGUCUUCGGAUCGUAAAACUCUGUUAUUAGGGAAGAACAAAUGUGUAAGUAACUAUGCACGUCUUGACGGUACCUAAUCAGAAAGCCACGGCUAACUACGCG